GAAACCUAUCACCACCUGCGGGGAGAAAAAAACACUACCACCUGCCAGUGCUACCCCCAGCCUCCUAGUAGACACAGCUAUGGUAUCAAAUUGAAAAUCCUAGGUGACUUCUUUCUUGGGUAAUCCAGUCACAAGAAGUUCAGAGUGCAUGACUUAUGAUAUCUGACCUUUAGGUUGAUGUCUCACUGAGAUUUGAAUUUGUCCGAGAUUUUAACUAUAUGUACCUAUGAUAUCAAUUUGAAAAUCCUACAUCGCCACCUUCUCGAGUAAUCACAGUCAUGCCUGGCUGCCUGGGCGGCCAUCUGCCCAGUGGGUGAUGACAAUACCCCAUCAGGAAGACCUCACACCACAACUGUAAGUAUAGAUGCCAUGCUCUUUUAUGGUAACAAAUUUUUUUCUCUAUAGUUUGUUAAAGCUAGUAAGACAAUUAACACGGCCAGAGACAAAGUAAAUCUGACUCUCCACUGAUUCCAGGGCAAAGGGCAUUUUAUCUUUGCCCUUAUCCUGCUUUCCUGCUACAGUCUGCUGAACACCUGUUCAGGUUUAACAUUCAGUUCACGGUGGGUGGGAGAGAUAUAGCAAAAACACAACUAAAUCAAAUACAAAUUUGCUGGUGGCAAAGAUAAUAACAGCUGGACAAUCAAGCAAAAAAAAAACAAAACCCCAACAAAGAAUAAUUCAAAAAAAGGUUAAAGUUAAAAAAAGUGAACAGUUGGGAGACAGAACCGGAGACACAUGCAGGACUAUACGUGCAUUUAGAGCUGACGGGAUAAACUACCACAGAUGGAAAAAAUUAGGGCAGAGCAGACAAUCAGAUGGUGGAAAAACACAUUAGGGUAAACAAACCAAAACCAAGAUUGUGAUUACAGGAAUAUAAUGUGACAACACAAAAGGCACAAGAGUGCAGCACAGAGAAAAACAGACACAGACCGGGAGCUCAGUGGUAACCGGAAAGAAAAAACACCAGAAACAAGAGCGAAUAAAAGAAAAUUGACAUUGGAGUGAACAUGACAUUGUUAAUUUGAUUAAUGAGAAGAGAUAUAAAACAGAGGAGCAUGCUUUUUAGUGAGGAGUAUCCUGAUUGAAGGAUUCUUCUCUGUAUAGUACAAACUUUAAAUUUCACAUAGCUAAGCACAAUUUAAC
ensembl:lncRNA